CCUACGGGUGGCAGCAGUGAGGAAUAUUGGUCAAUGGACGCAAGUCUGAACCAGCCAUGCCGCGUGCAGGAAGACGGCUCUAUGAGUUGUAAACUGCUUUUGUACGAGGGUAAACGCAGAUACGCGUAUCUGUCUGAAAGUAUCGUACGAAUAAGGAUCGGCUAACUCCGUGCCAGCAGCCGCGGUAAUACGGAGGAUUCAAGCGUUAUCCGGAUUUAUUGGGUUUAAAGGGUGCGUAGGCGGUCGGAUAAGUUAGUGGGGAAAGCCUGAGGCUCAACCUUGGAAUUGCCUGUGAAACUGGCAGGCUAGAGAGUAGUAGAGGUAGGCGGAAUGUGUGGUGUAGCGGUGAAAUGCUUAGAGAUCACACAGAACACCGAUUGCGAAGGCAGCUUACC
rnacentral:rRNA from 1 species